AGAGUUUGAUCAUGGCUCAGAUUGAACGCUGGCGGCAGGCCUAACACAUGCAAGUCGAACGGUAACAGGAAGAAGCUUGCUUCUUUGCUGACGAGUGGCGGACGGGUGAGUAAUGUCUGGGAAACUGCCUGAUGGAGGGGGAUAACUACUGGAAACGGUAGCUAAUACCGCAUAACGUCGCAAGACCAAAGAGGGGGACCUUCGGGCCUCUUGCCAUCGGAUGUGCCCAGAUGGGAUUAGCUAGUAGGUGGGGUAACGGCUCACCUAGGCGACGAUCCCUAGCUGGUCUGAGAGGAUGACCAGCCACACUGGAACUGAGACACGGUCCAGACUCCUACGGGAGGCA
rnacentral:rRNA from 1 species